GUCACUUAGUAUCCCUAUUGCUCCCCCCCUGGAUGAGGCAUGGCAAUUCAUAGGGUAUAUCUCCUGUGAUUCUGAAGGGUGUUGGUGUACUUGCUUGGGGCCAAGAUCUAAUUUUGAGUGAGUCACCAUCUUUCCUUGCCAGAGACCCCCUGUACAGAAGUUGUACUUUGAAAACCUGACUUCUGUAUUUUAUCCUUUUUGUUUUUAU